rnacentral:rRNA from 1 species
AUUGAACGCUAGCGGGAUGCUUUACACAUGCAAGUCGAACGGCAGCGCGGACUUCGCUCUGUAGGCGACUGGCGCACGGGUGAGUAAUGUAUCGGAACGUCCCCAGUAGCCUGCGAUCACUACGCGAAAGCGUAGCUAAUACCGCAUACGCUUUACGGUGGAAAGCAGGGGAUCGUAAGACCUUGCACUAUUGUAGCCGCCGAUAUCGGAUUAACCAGUUGGUGUGUCAACGGCUCAGCAAGGCGAUGAUCCGUAGCUGGUUCGAGAGGGAGACCAGCCACACUGGGACUGAGACACGGCCCAGACUCCGACGGGAGGGAGCAGUGGGGAAUGUUGGACAAUGGGGGCAGCCCUGAUCCAGCCAUCCCGCGUGUGCGAUGAAGGUCUUCGGGUUGUAAAGCACUUUUGGCAGGAAAGAAACGUAGCGGACUAAUACCCCGUGGAACUGACGGUACCUGCAGAAUAAGCACCGGCUAACUACGUG